rnacentral:rRNA from 1 species
CCUACGGGAGGCAGCAGUGGGGGAUAUUGCACAAUGGGGGGAACCCUGAUGCAGCGACGCCGCGUGGGUGAAGGAGUGCUUCGGCAUGUAAAGCCCUAUCGGCAGGGAAGAAGCAAGACGGUACCUGACUAAGAAGCCCCGGCUAACUACGUGCCAGCAGCCGCGGUAAUACGUAGGGGGCGAGCGUUAUCCGGAUUCACUGGGUGUAACGGGAGCGUAGACGGCCAUGCAAGCCAGGGGUGAAAGCCCGGGGCCCAACCCCGGGACUGCCCUUGGAACUGUGCGGCUAGAGUGCGGGAGGGGCAGGCGGAAUUCCUGGUGUAGCGGUGAAAUGCGUAGAUAUCAGGAGGAACACCGGCGGCGAAGGCAGCGUACCGGCUCCACACUGACGCUGAGGCACGAAAGCGUGGGUAUCGAACAGGAUUAGAUACCCGGGUAGUC